rnacentral:rRNA from 1 species
GACGAACGCUGGCGGCGUGCCUAAUACAUGCAAGUCGAACGCAGUGGGGACGGUUGAGUAACACGUGGGUAACCUCCCAUCAGAGGGGAUACCACUUGGAAACAGGUGCUAAACCGAUACUGAUGGAUGGACCCUCGGUGCAUUAGCUAGUUGGUGGGGUAACGGCUCACCAAGGCCACGAUGCAUAGCCGAUCUGAGAGGGUGAUCGGCCACACUGGGACUGAGACACGGCCCAGACUCCUACGGGAGGCAGCAGUAGGGAAUAUUGGGCAAUGGGCGAAAGUCUGAUCGAGCAACGCCGCGUGAGUGAAGAAGGUUUUCGGAUCGUAAAACUCUGUCGUUAGAGAAGCGGUAUCCAACCAGAAAGCCACGGCUAACUACGUGCCAGCAGCCGCGGUAAUAC